CGUCUCUGAGCGGCGCCGGGCGGAACAGGCGGUGACGCGUCGCGCGUUGAUGACGCCCGCACAGGCCCGGUAGCCGCGGGGGAAGCGCAGGCCCGUCCGCCGCCAUGGGGGGAGGCGACCUGAGCCUGAGGAGGAGCCGGCACCCCCGGCCCGGCGCAACGCGGAGGAGGCGCGGAAACCCGGGGAGAAGCGUGAGGCCGAGCGGCAGAUGGCGAUGGAGGAGGCGCGGCGGGAACUGAGGAGCCGCGCUGCGGUCACACAGCUGGGAUGGUGGGUUCAUCCCAGGGCUGUGAGGCAGAGCAGAGGUUCCUGAGUGGAAUUUUGGGAGGUGCAGACAUUGCUGCUGGAUAAUGGGAAAACAUGGAAAAGGGACUGAGGGUCACUCUCUUCUCUACAGGCCCUUCCUCGGAGCAGGAGGGUGGUCGUGGCUUCUCCCCAGCAGACCUGGAACCCACGGAAGGGGCCAAGGGGUGUCCUGGCUGUCAGUGCACCACACUGGUGAGGAAGGAGCUGUUCCUUAGACCUGGGGAGAGAAGCAGAGACCUGCUAAUGAAAAGAAGAUGGAGAGAUCUUCUUGGGUCUGGUGAGCAUGUGCAGGGUGCUGAAGGCUGGUUUCUGAGCUCCAUUAUUGAAGGUACUGAGGUCUUGACUAGGGGGAAACUACUCACUGUCUGUAUUUUCUUCUCUCUGUUCCUGAUUUCCUGCUGUAAUUCUCUGCACAGCCCUUGGCCGGGACAGGGAAAGGCUUCAGGGGCUGUCAAGUACCAGAAUUUGACCAAUGAACAAAAACUUGUCUCUCUAUACAAAUGUUUUUAAACCCUCCCUGCACAGGCCUGUGCCAGGGGGUAUAGCUCAGUGGUAGAGCAUUUGACUGCAGAUCAAGAGGUCCCCAGUUCAACUCUGGGUGCCCCCUCAUAAUCUGGUUUUUUUGGUGAGAUUUUGGGGCAUUUCUUCACUGGAAUGCUGACUGGUAAGAUCAUCUCAGCUUCCUCUCCUACUAAUUUGUUUUCACAGUUACAGAUGGAGCCAGAAUGUGCAGGGAAAACACCAAAGACUUGAAGGAAGUUUCUGUUUCAAGAGACUGCUCCAAGGGGACAGAGUGUAACUGGGAGAGGAAAGAGAGAUGGGUGGGGAAGAACUGGGCCAAGGUCAGCAGUAAAGGGAGAGAGUGUCUGUGCCCUGUGUGGGAGUUGAGGGAACAUCUGGGCUGGUGUUGCUUUUCAGUCUAGCACUUUCUGCAGCAGGAUUUGCUUCCUGUGGAACAGAGAGGUGAGAGAUUGGGGUAGAACAUACUUUAAAGUGCUUUUUUUUUUCAGGUGAUUUGAGGGGUUCACAGGCAGGGGGUAUAGCUCAGUGGUAGAGCAUUUGACUGCAGAUCAAGAGGUCCCUGGUUCAACUCCAGGUGCCCCCUCCUUUCUUCUCCUUUACCCUUCAUUUUGCCAAAAUUUCUCUCAGAAAGAAGACAGGGAGCUCUUUUUGGGCCUAGUGAGCUUGUGCUGGGCACUGAAGGUUGGUCUGAGCCUCAGCAUUGAAGGCACCGAGGCUCUGACUGUAAGGAAACGGGCUGUGUGUGCACAGUGUGAGUAACUGCUCGCUGUUUGCUUCUCUCUGUUCCCGAUUCUCUGUUCCUAAUUCUCUGUGCAGCCCUUGGAGGCUCAGGGGGGUGUCAAUAUGAGAAUAAGACCAGUGGACAUAAAACCUUGUCUUUCUGGGUGGAUGUUUUUAAAAUGUCCUUGUGAGAGGUGUUAACCCAGGGGGUAUAGCUCAGUGGUAGAGCAUUUGACUGCAGAUCAAGAGGUCCCUGGUUCAACUCCAGGUGCCCCCUCUUUUCUUCUCUUUUAACCUUUCUUUUGCCAAAAUUUCUCACAGAAAGGGGAUGGAGGUCUCUUCUUGGGUCUGGUGAGCUUGUGCUGGGCACUGAAGGUUGGUUUCUGAGCUUUACCCUUGCAUGUACCAAGGCCCUACCUAUGGAGAGCUGGCACGGGCUGUGUGUGCACAGUGUGAGUAACUGCUCACUGUUUGCUUCUCUCUGUUCCUGAUUCCCUGCAGCAAUUCUCUGCACAGCCCUUAGAGGCUCAGGGGGGUGUCAAUAUGAGACUCAGACCAGUGGACAUAAAACCUUGUCUCUCCAGGUGAAUGUUUUUAAAAUGUCCUUGCGAGAGGUACAAAGCCAGGGGGUAUAGCUCAGUGGUAGAGCAUUUGACUGCAGAUCAAGAGGUCCCUGGUUCAACUCCAGGUGCCCCCUCUUUUCCACUCCUUUACCCUUCCUUUUGCCAAAAUUUCUCACAGAAAGAAGAUGGAGAGAUCAUCUUGGGUCUGGUGAGCUUGUGGAGG